rnacentral:rRNA from 1 species
GAGUUGAUCCUGGCUCAGGACGAACGCUGGCGGCGUGCUUAACACAUGCAAGUCGAACGGAAAGGCCCUGCUUUUGUGGGGUGCUCGAGUGGCGAACGGGUGAGUAACACGUGAGUAACCUGCCCUUGACUUUGGGAUAACUUCAGGAAACUGGGGCUAAUACCGGAUAGGAGCUCCUGCUGCAUGGUGGGGGUUGGAAAGUUUCGGCGGUUGGGGAUGGACUCGCGGCUUAUCAGCUUGUUGGUGGGGUAGUGGCUUACCAAGGCUUUGACGGGUAGCCGGCCUGAGAGGGUGACCGGCCACAUUGGGACUGAGAUACGGCCCAGACUCCUACGGGAGGCAGCAGUGGGGAAUAUUGCACAAUGGGCGGAAGCCUGAUGCAGCAACGCCGCGUGCGGGAUGACGGCCUUCGGGUUGUAAACCGCUUUCGCCUGUGACGAAGCGUGAGUGACGGUAAUGGGUAAAGAAGCACCGGCUAACUACGUGCCAGCAGCCGCGGUGAUACGUAGGGUGCGAGCGUUGUCCGGAUUUAUUGGGCGUAAAGGGCUCGUAGGUGGUUGAUCGCGUCGGAAGUGUAAUCUUGGGGCUUAACCCUGAGCGUGCUUUCGAUACGGGUUGACUUGAGGAAGGUAGGGGAGAAUGGAAUUCCUGGUGGAGCGGUGGAAUGCGCAGAUAUCAGGAGGAACACCAGUGGCGAAGGCGGUUCUCUGGGCCUUUCCUGACGCUGAGGAGCGAAAGCGUGGGGAGCGAACAGGCUUAGAUACCCUGGUAGUCCACGCUGUAAACGGUGGGUACUAGGUGUGGGGUCCAUUCCACGGGUUCCGUGCCGUAGCUAACGCUUUAAGUACCCCGCCUGGGGAGUACGGCCGCAAGGCUAAAACUCAAAGGAAUUGACGGGGCCCCGCACAAGCGGCGGAGCAUGCGGAUUAAUUCGAUGCAACGCGUAGAACCUUACCUGGGUUUGACAUGGAUCGGGAGUGCUCAGAGAUGGGUGUGCCUCUUUUGGGGUCGGUUCACAGGUGGUGCAUGGCUGUCGUCAGCUCGUGU